UCUUGUGGAAGAGCAAGGAAAGUGGUUUCAUAAGAUGGAAUCUACUCCUGUUGAGGAUGCUGUGAA
rnacentral:pre_miRNA from 1 species